UACGGGGGGGGCAAGCGUUGUUCGGAAUUACUGGGCGUAAAGGGCUCGUAGGCGGCUUUGUAAGUUAGAGGUGAAAGCCCGGGGCUCAACUCCGGAAUUGCCUUUAAGACUGCAUCGCUAGAAUCGUGGAGAGGUGAGUGGAAUUCCGAGUGUAGAGGUGAAAUUCGUAGAUAUUCGGAAGAACACCAGUGGCGAAGGCGACUCACUGGACACGUAUUGACGCUGAGGUGCGAAAGCGUGGGGAGCAAACAGG
rnacentral:rRNA from 1 species